rnacentral:rRNA from 1 species
UACGAAGGGGGCUAGCGUUGUUCGGAAUUACUGGGCGUAAAGCGCGCGUAGGCGGCUUUUCAAGUCGAUUGUGAAAUCCCCGGGCUUAACCUGGGAACUGCAGUCGAGACUGUCUAGCUAGAGUAUGGGAGAGGGAAGUGGAAUUUCAGGUGUAGCGGUGAAAUGCGUAGAUAUCUGAAGGAACAUCAGUGGCGAAAGCGACUUCCUGGACCAAUACUGACGCUCAUGUGCGAAAGCGUGGGGAGCAAACAGG